rnacentral:rRNA from 1 species
ACUAAAAACCCUAACUUAUAAAGGGGUGUAUUUAUUAGAUUAAAAACUAAUGCCCUUUAGGGCUUACUGGUAAUUUAUAAUAACUUCUUAAAUUGUAUAGCCUUACGCUAGUAAUAGUUUAUUUAAAUUUCUUCCUUAUUAACUUUUAAUGCUAGAGUAGUGUUCUAGUAUAGUUAUAAUAGGUAACAGAGGGUUAGGGCUUAACCCUAGAGAAAGAGCCUAAGAAAUAGCUACUAUAUCUAAGGAAGGUAGCAGGCGUGUAAAUUACCUAAUCCUAACAUAGGGAGGUAGUGACAAUAAAUACUAAUAUAGGGCUUUUUUAGGUCUUGUAAUUAGAAUAAGUAUAAUUUAAAUCCCUUAAUAAGGAAUAAUUAGAGGGUAAGUCUGGUGCUAGUAGCUAUAGUAAUUCUAGCUUUAAUAGCGUAUAUUAAAGUUGUUAUAGUUAAAAAGCUUGUAGUAGAACCUUAGGCCUGGCUGGCCGGUCCGCCUCACUGCGUGCACUGGUCUGGCCAGGCCUUUCUCUCUGUGGAACCGUAUACCCUUUACUAGGUGUGCUAGGGAAGCAGGACUUUUACUUUAAAAAAAUUAGAGUGCUUUAGGCAGGCCUAUGCUUAAAUAUAUUAGCAUGGAAUAAUAGAAUAGGACGUGUAGUUCUAUUUUGUUAGUUUCUAGGACUGCUGUAAUAAUUAAUAGGGAUAGUUAGGGGUAUUAGUAUUUAAUUGUUAGAGGUAAAAUUCUUAGAUUUAUUAAAGACUAACUACUGCAAAAGUAUUUACUAAGGAUGUUUUUAUUUAUUAGGAAUAAAAGUUAGGGGAUUAAAGACAAUUAGAUACUGUUAUAGUCUUAACUAUAAACUAUACUAACUAGGGAUUA